CUGCAGUCGAUCAUAAUUACAGACUCUUGCUGGAAACAAAACCCAGUUUCUCAGGGAAGGCACAUUGUGGCAGGGCUUGGAGUCCUCUGGGCUGCAGGAGGGAGCACCCACAGGGAAGUGACCAGCAGGAGCUGGAUUCAGUUAUCCUCAGCUCUCCCAUGAUUCUGUGAUUCUGUGGUGGUGGUGUUCCUUUAUCUCAGCUUCCUCUCCGUGUUCUCACCCGGGGAAGUGACUGGCAGAGCCUCUUGCACAAAUGGGGUUUUGGGCUGCCCCAGCCUGGGAUUUGCACAUUGCCAAAUCUUCAAAGGUUUGCAUAAACAGGAGCCUUGCUCUGGAGCUGAAAAAACCCCUCCAGUUUGCUGCAGACCACUUCAGAUGUGUUCCUGUUUCCCACCUGUGCUGAAGAUGGUCUCUGUAGCACCCUACACAUCUCCCAGGCAACCCAGCCCUGCGAGGGAAACGUGGAGAGGGAAACAUGGACUGGCUUCUCCAGGACCGUUCACAGCAGCCCAUUGUGGGAAUUUUCAAAAUUAGAGGGAAAAUUAGAGAGUUUUAGGGAAAGCUGCAAAAGGCAGGUUUCAGAUACAGCAGAACUGUGAGUACACCUAAAGCAGCAGCCAUGAGAUCGGUCAGCAGAACAAUUAUUUAAACCGUAGAGAAGCAAGGGCAAAUAGAACAAUGGUGUGUGCAUUAACGCUUGUCUAGAAUAAGUCUCUAAGCUGCAGAAAGUUUAUCUAGCAAGAUAUUGGGGAGGUUAAAGCUUAAUAAUGGAGCUCUGUGCAUUGUGUUUUAAGGCUCACAAGUAGGUAUUGUAUUUGAAAUAAGCAAGCAUUUUUUAACCAAAGGCACCUGUGCUUAUGGUGAUUGGAUAGAACUACUGUCAAUAUAGAAUAUAUACUGUACAGAUACAAAUACUGUCAGUGUGCUUUUGCUUUGUGUGAUUGGUCAAGAAGCUUAUAAAGUGAGUUGUGACAUUGAGUUCUGUGCCUGCUGCCUGGGAUGUGAGCUGGUGGCAUCUUCCCAUUGCCAUAGCCAUGGAAUGAGACUGAUGCUGGACUGAUGCUAAGGGACCCCUUCUCCCCCUGCAGGUGCCCACCCCCAGCCAAACCUGGGACUCUGCCCCAGCAGAGCCAGUGAGCCUGGCAAGGCACCCAGGCACCCCCAGAGCAGCCAAAACUCCUCUGGAGACACAACCCUGCUGUGGCAGAGAAAGGCACUGCCAAAAGGAGCUGGCUUUCCUUUGAGCAGGGGUUCCAGUGGGACUGUCCCAGCAAUCCCUGUUUUAUUCCAGGAGAGGAUCCCCUUCGAAGCCUGGCUGUCUCCUGAGCUCCAGAAUCAAAGCAGACUCACCAUUUCGGCUGAUCAGAAGGCAAGGAAGCAGCUUCAAGUGAAAUGCCCAGAAAAUUAGAUUAAUCAGAGGUGAUAAGAAUCAAGUGAGACAAUUCUGCAGUGUGAAUCCGAAUGAAAAUUGUGUGAUAACAGAUAAGGUAUUCCAAUGGCAAUAUCUGAUUAAAAUAAACAAGUUAUUAUUUUCA
rnacentral:lncRNA from 1 species